ACGGGUGAGUAACACGUAUGCAAUCCACCUGUAACAGGGGGAUAACCCGGAGAAAUCCGGACUAAUACCCAUAAUAUGGGCGCUCCGCAUGGAGAGUCCAUUAAAGAGAGCAAUCUUGGUUACAGACGAGCAUGCGCUCCAUUAGCCAGUUGGCGGGGUAACGGCCCACCAAGGCGACGAUGGAUAGGGGUUCUGAGAGGAAGGUCCCCCACAUUGGAACUGAGACACGGUCCAA
rnacentral:rRNA from 1 species